rnacentral:lncRNA from 1 species
CACCUUCGGAAUACCCCAAAAGGGAAUUUAUCUCUACUUCCCUCAAUCUUCACUUUACGCCACGCCGACUCCCUUUUCGUCAUAAGGCGUGGAAUUAGACCAAGGGGAUCCCCAUAGGAACUAGUCCCUCUUCGCACGUAUAAAAUCGAGACACAGCCCCAAGGCUAUGGGGAAAGAUGUAGAUUGAUCGCCCGUCAUAUACAACUACAUAGAGAGUCUCUA